GUGGGGACCGGGCGGCAGGGGCAGGCCGAACGUGCUCGUGUCGCCCACAGGUGGCAAGAAGAAGCCACUGAAACAGCCCAAGAAGCAGGCCAAGGAGAUGGACGAGAUAAGGCUUUCAAGCAGAAACAAAAAGAGGAGCAGAAGAAACUCGAGGAGCUAAAAGCGAAGGCCGCGGGGAAGGGGCCCUUGGGUGGAAUUAAGAAAUCUGGCAAAAAGUAAGCUGUUCCUUGUGCCUGAGGAGAUGGUGACCCUUUAUUUCAUCUGUAUUUAAACCUCUCUAUUCCCUGCCAUAACAUCUUUUGCCACGUAUAGCUGGAAUUAAGUGUUGUCUUGGAGCUGUUGUACAUUUAAGAAUAAACUUUUGUAAAAAAAAAAAAAAAAAAUCUUACAGUGGCUCAUCAUCUCUUUAGUUGUUUUCACUAAGUCAUUCCUACCAUAACUGUGAAUUUAAAGUAAAACCAGCUCAGAAUCUUGCCAGAGUCUGUUCUUUGGUCCUUGUUCUACCCUAAACUUUGUAUCACCUGAAAUUAAACCAACUCAUUUGAAAGGAU
rnacentral:lncRNA from 1 species